CCUACGGGAGGCAGCAGUGGGGAAUAUUGGGCAAUGGAGGAAACUCUGACCCAGCAAUGCCGCGUGAAUGAAGAAGGUCUUCGGAUUGUAAAGUUCUUUAGUCAGGGAAGAAUAACAUGACAGUACCUGAAGAAUAAGCUCAGGCUAACUACGUGCCAGCGGCCGCGGUAAUACGUAAGGAGCAAGCGUUGGUCGGAAUGGCUGGGCUUAAAGGGUGCCUAGGCGGUUAUAAAAGUUAGAAGUGAAAUACACAGGGCUUAACUCGGGUGCUGCUUAUAAAACUGUAAGACUUGAGUGCAGUUGAGGUUAGUGGAAUUCGUAGUGUAGCGGUGGAAUGCGUAGAUAUUAGGAGGAACACCAGAGGCGAAGGCGGCUAACUGGACUGUAACUGACGCUGAGGCACGAAAGUGUGGGGAGCAAACAGGAUUAGAUACCCUUGUAGUC
rnacentral:rRNA from 1 species